UACGUAGGGGGCAAGCGUUGUCCGGAAUCAUUGGGCGUAAAGCGCGUGUAGGCGGCCCGGUAAGUCCGCUGUGAAAGUCGGGGGCUCAACCCUCGGAUGCCGGUGGAUACUGUCGGGCUAGAGUGCGGGAGAGGCGAGUGGAAUUCCUGGUGUAGCGGUGAAAUGCGCAGAUAUCAGGAGGAACACCGGUGGCGAAGGCGGGUCUCUGGGCCGUAACUGACGCCGAGGAGCGAAAGCGUGGGGAGCGAACAGG
rnacentral:rRNA from 1 species